rnacentral:rRNA from 1 species
CCCGCUGAACUUAAGCAUAUCAAUAAGCGGAGGAAAAGAAACUAACAAGGAUUCCCCUAGUAACUGCGAGUGAAGCGGGAAAAGCUCAAAUUUAAAAUCUGGCGGUCUUGCGGCCGUCCGAGUUGUAAUCUGGAGAAGCGUUUAUCCGCGUCGGACCGUGUACAAGUCUUCUGGAAGGGAGCGUCGUAGAGGGUGAGAAUCCCGUCUUUGACACGGACAACCGGUGCUUUUGUGAUGCGCUCUCGAAGAGUCGAGUUGUUUGGGAAUGCAGCUCAAAAUGGGUGGUAAAUUCCAUCUAAAGCUAAAUAUUGGCGAGGGACCGAUAGCGAACAAGUACCGUGAGGGAAAGAUGAAAAGAACUUUGGAAAGAGAGUUAAACAGUACGUGAAAUUGCUGAAAGGGAAACGCUUGAAGUCAGUCGCGUUGUCCGGGGAUCAACCUUGCUUUUGCUGGGCGUACUUCCCGGUUGACGGGUCAGCAUCAAUUUUGACCGUUGGAUAAAGUCUAGGGGAAUGUGGCAUCUUCAGAUGUGUUAUAGCCCUUGGUCGCAUACAACGGUUGGGAUUGAGGAACUCAGCACGCCGCAAGGCCGGGUAUUCGUACCACGUUCGUGCUUAGGAUGCUGGCAUAAUGGCUUUAAUCGACCCGUCUUGAAACACGG